AGUAAUUCAGCUAUAAAGAAACUGAAAAAAAAAAAGAAAAGAAACUGAGCACAGAGAGGUUUAAUAACUUGCUUUAGAUGGCACAGCUAGGAUCUGGGCAGUGUGGCUCCAGGGCAGGGACGCUAACCACCACACUAGAAUAAAUACAAGCUAGUUCAGAAGUUUAAUUAUGAACCAUCAGGGUCAGUCCUCAUCAGAACAGGGCUGGUAUCCUAAGCAGCGGAGACCACCCAUUCUUAAUCUGCAGAGAUUCCUCCCCACCGACCUUAUUCUUGGUGCUGGGGUUGGGGGGAGGCAGUAAGAUUUAGAAUCCCUUCCCACCCCUUCCCAGGCCCACACACACACCCCCCACCCCAGCCCCUUUUAGUGUCUUUUCUGACAUGUCCAUCAUCCUAUCUACGUGUCCUUUUUCCUUCACUAGUAUGGGAAGAAUAGUGUUCUCUCUCUAUCACUUGCAUGGAGAUAUGAAUUCAACCAGAUUCACCAAGUUCCUACUGUGUGCCGAAGGCCGAGGUGUGUGCCAGGCAUUGAAGUACAGUAUAAGCCAGACCCCGCCUUCAAGGGACCGCAGUCUCACAGGGCUACACAAUGAACUAUAACACCAGCCUAUGAGCUAUGGAGUUAUAAAGAAAGGAGGAAGUGACUAAUUGCAAUGGGGAGUGGGAGGUUGUGGUGAAUCCAGAAAGGCUUCACAUAGGAGGUGACACAGAAGCUAGGUCUUGAAGGAAUGAAUAGCCUUUUUGAUGGGCAAAGACGUGAACAAAGAGAAUUCUAGGCUGAGCCCGUAAUAUGAGCAAAGGCACAGUGGGAUCAAAGUGCAAGUGUGUGUUUAAGA